UUUAUGGAGAGUUUGAUCCUGGCUCAGGAUGAACGCUGGCGGCGUGCCUAAUACAUGCAAGUCGAGCGAACGGACGAGAAGCUUGCUUCUCUGAUGUUAGCGGCGGACGGGUGAGUAACACGUGGAUAACCUACCUAUAAGACUGGGAUAACUUCGGGAAACCGGAGCUAAUACCGGAUAAUAUUUUGAACCGCAUGGUUCA
rnacentral:rRNA from 2 species